CAGAGUGAUGCAGGUUAUACCAAUAGCAGUUAAUGUUCUCCUUAAAUGUGGGCGGGCCCAAGAAGAAUAAGAGUAUAUAAAGGACAUAGGAAAAGAAAGUUAGCUUGUGUUCAUAGUUCAGCUGUUUCAGCACCCGAGACAGAGGAAAAGAAACAAUAUGAUUGUGUAGUCUCCUAAAACUUUUGUUAGCUACUUCAUUACUUUUUCCCAGAGAACCCCUUCCAAUGAAUCACGUUAAAAAGUGGACAGGAUUGGUAAAACAAUCUUGCUGCUGAAAUCUGAUAUUAAAAUAGGAGAGUGCAACUGUCUGUACAAAUGUUGCACGAAAUCUGCAUGAACAUGCAAAUACUAAGUCCCGAAGUGAUCUGUGGCUUUUCUUUCUGAUUAAACAUCUAUACAGGUCCACUUCAGUUUACAGGAAAGACAGCAAAAAAAAUCAAUUAUGCGCUGAUGUUGGAGCUUGGGGCGCAGGCUUAGCCCUAUUGGCUUGAGCUGGUUCUACUUGUGAUGACACAUUUCAAUAGAACUGAACUCAUUCUUCAAAUAUAGAAUUUUAAGUAGGACGAAUAUAGUCAGACAUUAUAGGAUCUGUUAUGAUUCACGAAAAACAAGAAUAUCAUUAUAGCUUGUUAACUGCAACGCUGGGAGAUUCUUUGCUCUCUGGGAUGAACACAAGCAAACUGUUUUCCUUCCUAAUCAGAUUUUGUCAACUAUUUACAAAUGGUCUCGCCAGACUGUAAGAAAAACACUACCCUACCCUACCCUACCCGGAUUCUGAUUCCAAGAAUCAUAAAACCCCCAAAACUCAGCAGCCAAAUUAAUUCAUUAGCAUCAAU
rnacentral:lncRNA from 1 species